rnacentral:rRNA from 1 species
CACGUAGGGCGCAAGCGUUGUCCGGAAUUAUUGGGCGUAAAGAGCUCGUAGGCGGUCUGUUGCGUCCGCUGUGAAAACUCGGGGCUUAACCCCGAGCCUGCAGUGGAUACGGGCAGACUAGAGGUAGGUAGGGGAGAAUGGAAUUCCCGGUGUAGCGGUGAAAUGCGCAGAUAUCGGGAGGAACACCGGUGGCGAAGGCGGUUCUCUGGGCCUUACCUGACGCUGAGGAGCGAAAGCAUGGGGAGCAAACAGG